rnacentral:rRNA from 1 species
GUGGGGAAUUUUGGACAAUGGGCGCAAGCCUGAUCCAGCAAUGCCGCGUGUGUGAAGAAGGCCUUCGGGUUGUAAAGCACUUUUGGCAGGAAAGAAAUAGUGCGUGCUAAUACCAUGCGCGAAUGACGGUACCUGCAGAAUAAGCACCGGCUAACUACGUGCCAGCAGCCGCGGUAAGACGUAGGGUGCAAGCGUUAAUCGGAAUUACUGGGCGUAAAGCGUGCGCAGGCGGGUUUGUAAGACAGGUGUGAAAUCCCCGGGCUCAACCUGGGAACUGCACUUGUGACUGCAAGGCUAGAGUGUGUCAGAGGGAGGUGGAAUUCCGCGUGUAGCAGUGAAAUGCGUAGAGAUGCGGAGGAACACCGAUGGCGAAGGCAGCCUCCUGGGAUAACACUGACGCUCAGGCACGAAAGCGUGGGGAGCAAACAGGAUUAGAAACCCGUGUAGUCC